AUGGAGAAGUUCAAGAAGCGAUUUCAUAAGAUGGCAUCAAUGCUUUCUUGCCAUGGUGCUCAGUCCAGUGACGUGUAUGCACCUGGUAGCCGCGCCGCCACAGCUAAUAGACGGCGUUAUCUACAGAACAAUGAGGACAUGGAGGAGGAGUUCCAUGAAGAGGAGCCAUCACAUCAAGAGGAGCCAACACAUCAUGAGGAGCAUGAGUAUGAUGCAACACAUGAAGAGGAUCAUGAGUAUGAUGUUGAUGCUCCACAACCAUCACAGGCUACACAACCAACACAAGGCAAUGCUUCACAACCAUCUAGGAAAGGCAAAGCCAUAGCUAAGAGACCAAGCAAGAAAGGUAGAAAGAAGACAUAG
rnacentral:rRNA from 1 species